UCGGCUCACUGCAGCCCCCGCCUCCUGGGUUCAAGCGAUUAUCCCGCAUCAGCCUCCCGAGUAGCUGGGGUUACAGACGUGCGCCACCAUGCCCGGCCCGUGGUGACUGUUUUUUGACAAACGUGCCAAUGUAAUUGAGAGAGGAAAUGAAGGUUGAUUUUUGGUUUUCUGAAAAAAUGGUGCUAAGAACAGCUGGAUAUCUAUUUGGAAAACAGUGAAUCUUAACUCUUGCUUUGCUCUAUAUAAACCUAAAUGUAAAAGCUAAACUAAAAGUUACGGAAAGAAACAUGGGGGAGGGGUAGGCAAAGAGUUCUUAGUGUGGAUACACAAGGCAUCAGCCAUGAAGAAAACCAUUGAAAUUUGGAUUUCACCAAAAUUUAAAGCUUCAACCCUUUAGAAGACUUGAGAAAAUUAAAGAGCGGUUAUAGAAAGGGAAAAAUGCUCUGUUUUUCAGAGGACUUAAAAAGCAUUUUUCAGUCCUCCUCUGAUUUUAAAGGACCUUUGACCAGAGUAUGUAAAAUUCUCUCAUAACUAAGCAAAAAACCCAGUUAACCAGUGGGAAAGGAUCUGCAAAGACGUGUCAUCAAGAUGGAUGGAAUGGCCAGUUGAGCACAUGGAAAGACGCCCAGCAUCUCCAGUCACAGGAGAAGGCAGAUUAAAGCCACGGGGAGCUGGCACUGCAGUCCCACUGGCCUGGCUGAAAUUCAGCAGCCUGAGUGUGGCACGAGGUGGUGGAACAGCUGGAUCUCAUCCAUUGCUGCGGAGCUGUGAAGCUGUGUAGCCGCUGCACAAACACGUGUGGCGAACAGCCGAACCAGGAGAAGGGAAGAUGUGUUCAAAGACUUGUGUGUGACCAGGCUCAGUGGCUCACACCUGUAAUCCAAGAACUUUAGGGGCCAAGGCUCAGGGAUCGCUUAUGCCCAGGAGUUUGAGACCAGCCUGGGCAACACAGGGAGACCCCAUCUCAAAAAAAAAGAAAAAAGGAAAAAAAAGACUUCAAUGUGCAAGUUUACCAGAGCUUUGUUUACAGUUGCCAGAACUGGGAAGCAGCCCACGUGAGUCCAUCCACUGAGCCGCAGAGCACACAGCAUUGACCUGAAGGGGACAGUCGUGAUCUUUGACGAAGCUCACAAUGUGGAGAAGAUGUGUGAAGAAUCAGCGUCCUUUGACCUGACCCCCCAUGACCUGGCUUCAGGACUGGACGUCAUAGACCAGGUGCUGGAGGAGCAGACCAAGACUGCGCAGCAGGGCGAGCCCCACCCGGAGUUCAGCACGGACUCCCCUAGCCCAGGUGCGUUCAUAGACGGGCCGCUCAGUCCUGAGGCCUGCGCUGCUGCAGGGGGCAGCCUGCCCUGUGGCUGUGUGUGGUCGGCCUGGGCACUAUCUGUUCAGGCUGGCACUGCAGGGCACCCACUUCUCUCAGAGGCUUCUCGGGUGUGAAUUGUUUGGGGUCCUGUAGGCUGUGGAAGGGCUGGUAUCAUUCAGUAGUUCUGGUACUUUCCGAAGACCUAUGUCUUCUCCCAGCCAGUGUCAACUUGGCCUCUACUGUGUGAAAUUAGAAAACUAUGCUUUGUGAAGCUGAGAUGGGAGCAUCGCUUGAGGCCAGGAGUUCGAG